rnacentral:rRNA from 1 species
ACGGGGGGAGCAAGCGUUGUUCGGAAUCACUGGGCGUAAAGGGCGUGUAGGCGGCGGAGUAUGUCGGACGUGAAAUAUCCCAGCUUAACUGGGGAAAUGCAUUCGAAACUACUUCGCUCGAGUGCGAGAGGGGAUGGUAGAAUUCUCGGUGUAGAGGUGAAAUUCGUAGAUAUCGAGAGGAAUACCUGCGGCGAAGGCGGCCAUCUGGUUCGCAACUGACGCUGAGACGCGAAAGCGCGGGGAGCAAACAGGA